rnacentral:rRNA from 1 species
GCAAGUAGAACGGUAACAGGAAUAGCUUGCUCUGCGCUGACGAUUUGCGAACGGGUGCGUAACUCGUAUGCAACCUACCCUUAACAGGGGGAUAGCCUUCCGAAAGGAAGAAUAAUAUCCCAUAAUAUAUAGAAAUGGCAUCGUUUUUAUAUUAAAGCUCCGGCGGUUAAGGAUGGGCAUGCGUGUCAUUAGCUAGUUGGUGAGGUAACGGCUCACCAAGGCAACGAUGACUAGGGGUUCUGAGAGGAUUAUC